GACAGAGGUGCCAAGCGUUAGGCGGAAUCACUGGGCUUAAAGCGUGUGUAGGCGGAUUGGUAAGUACCUUGUGAAAUCCCACGGCUCAACCGUGGAACUGCUUGGUAUACUGCUUAUCUUGAGCCACUUAGGGGCUGUCGGAACAAACGGUGGAGCGGUGAAAUGCGUAGAUAUCAUUUGGAACGCCAAUGGUGAAAACAGGUAGCUGGGGCUGUGCUGACGCUGAGACGCGAAAGCGUGGGGAGCAAACAGG
rnacentral:rRNA from 1 species